AUGGAUUUUGUUUUUAAAAGUUUCCAAAAAUCGCCCUGGAAUGAAAAUGAAAGGGUGUUGUGCGGAUUGUUCUUGGAAAUUUACAUGCUGCUGAGAAGUGUGUUUUGGUUUUGUUUGUGUCAAUUUGAUUUUGAUUCAGUUUCGACUAUUCAGACAUCGUGGUUUCUCUUGAGGUUGCGUUGA